CAGGUAAGAAGUUAUGAACUGCACUCUAUUGGGUCAGAUAUAAACCGAGUUUAGCUGGACUUAUUUUUCGUUUAUAUGGGCCGAUGAUGCUGGAAACCGAAGGCAGGAGCGUGAGGUGAACUGAAUUUCAGGUAAGAAGUUAUGAACUGCACUCUAUUGGGUCAGAUAUAAACCGAGUUUAGGUGUAGUUUAUUUAGCAGCAGUUCUCUUAUGUGUUGCUGAUAGCCGGCUAGCUAACUAUAGCCUAGCAUAGUUAGCUCGCGCCGCUAGCGACCCUUCGUGAAAAAGCACCCAGGCUUGGCUUAUAUUGAGGCGGGUGAAACUCGUGUCAGCACCCGGUCGCUCGCCGACAGUAUGUGUUUUAGC
ensembl:lncRNA